CUACGGGUUGCUGCAGUGGGGAAUAUUGCACAAUGGGCGCAAGCCUGAUGCAGCCAUGCCGCGUGUAUGAAGAAGGCCUUCGGGUUGUAAAGUACUUUCAGCGGGGAGGAAGGGAGUAAAGUUAAUACCUUUGCUCAUUGACGUUACCCGCAGAAGAAGCACCGGCUAACUCCGUGCCAGCAGCCGCGGUAAUACGGAGGGUGCAAGCGUUAAUCGGGAUUACUGGGCGUAAAGCGCACGCAGGCGGUUUGUUAAGUCAGAUGUGAAAUCCCCGGGCUCAACCUGGGAACUGCAUCUGAUACUGGCAAGCUUGAGUCUCGUAGAGGGGGGUAGAAUUCCAGGUGUAGCGGUGAAAUGCGUAGAGAUCUGGAGGAAUACCGGUGGCGAAGGCGGCCCCCUGGACGAAGACUGACGCUCAGGUGCGAAAGCGUGGGGAGCAAACAGGAUUAGAUACCCCGGUAGUC
rnacentral:rRNA from 1 species